rnacentral:rRNA from 1 species
UACGUAGGUGGCAAGCGUUAUCCGGAUUUAUUGGGCGUAAAGAGAACGCAGGCGGUCUUUUAAGUCUGAUGUGAAAGCCUUCGGCUUAACCGGAGUAGUGCAUUGGAAACUGGGAGACUUGAGUGCAGAAGAGGAGAGUGGAACUCCAUGUGUAGCGGUGAAAUGCGUAGAUACAUGGAAGAACACCAGUGGCGAAAGCGGCUCUCUGGUCUGUAACUGACGCUGAGGUUCGAAAGCGUGGGUAGCAAACGGG